UACAUGCUCGUGGUAACCAUGCUUUAACUAAAAGGCCUGACGAUUUUCUUGAAGUGCCAAAGAACUCUCAGUUGGCUUAUUGUUCAAAUUCUGAGAAUUCAAGUCUUUCUUCCACAAUGGCGAAAUCCAACGUUGAGAACAAGGAGAAUGAAACAGAUGAACAAGUGGCUCGAUUAACAAAGAAAAGCCAGGAAGUUCUGCAUCUUAAAGACGAGUUUAAAACUGCGAAUGAUUUGAAAAAAAAAUCCUUCUUUGACAACAUCUUUGCAAUCAGGGCGUUACACUGACUCAUCGCUCUUGUCGGAGGAAGUGUUUGAGCCCCUUGUUGAUAUGAACAGCGGUGUAUCUCUAAUUCCCGUUGUUUGCCCCGAUGACGAUAAAGGAGUUAGGGGUCUAGCUAUGUCAGAUGAAAAUGAGCGAUUUACUGUUGCACCUGAGACGUCGCGACAUUUAGAAGAUACUUCAUUAUUUUAUCGACAAGAAUUUCUAACGAGUUGACCAUUUUAACUGAGGUGGUAAUUUAUGUUGUUUUCAGUAUUUACACUGAUGAAGACGUCGAGAAUGAUGCAAGUUUAGCAAUAGAGGCAACUGUUGCAGCGAUAUGUGCCACACGUGAUGGUAGCAUAGAAAUUAAUGAUUACUCAGGAUCUUCAUUGGUCAGAACCAUGGGUGAUGGUUGUAUGAAUCCAUCAGAGGAAUAUCCAUCAGGCAAAGAAAUGACUUCAGAGGAAUUAAAACAGGCGAUUGUAUCGAUGAUGUUAAGAAAAGAUGAAGUUGAAGAACGUAACAGGUUGUAUUAUCGUCCUUCGUUUAAUAUUAACAUUCCAUUCGAAUAUACACUAUUUUGCCCUGAUUUUUCCUUCGGUCAUCUUUCCUGUAGAUCGUUACAACAACAUUUGGAAAA